rnacentral:rRNA from 1 species
GGUGGGCCUUUGCAGUGUGGGUGCAGGAGAAACCGUUUAAAUUUCCCCCCGGGGGGAUUGGGGCCCCAAGUUAAAACUUAAAAAAAUUUGGGGGGGCCCCCCACAGGGGGGGGACCUGGUGUUUUAUUUGGAUGACACGGGGAAGACCUUCACCGGCUUUUAACUUCCGGAGAGUGUUCCAGGAGAGGGUUUUUUUCUUUGGGGACAUUGUGCACAGGUGGUGCAAGGCUGUUGUCAACUUCGUGUCUGGUGGAAGAAGUUGGGUGUAAAUUCCCCGCAACGAGGGCAACCCCUUUCCUUUUUUGCCCCCAGGUUAUGGUGGGCACUCAAAGGAGACUGCCCGGUGAUAAACCGGAGGAAGGGGGGGAUGACGUCAAUUCUUCAUGGCCCUUAGGGCCGGGGUUCCCCCCGUGUUCCAAUGGGGGGUCCAAAGGGAAGUCACCUCGGGAGAGUCAACCAAUCUCCUCACAAACCCUCAGUCGUAGUCCGGAUGUGCAGUCUGCAACUCGACUCCGAUGAAGUGCGGAAUCGCGUAGUAAUCGGAGGAUCAGGCAAUCGUACGACUGGUAGAAUAUCUGUUCUGCCGGGCCUUGCUAACACCACCCUCCCGUCAUCAUCCAUGGGGUGUGCUGUUUGCACAAAGGAUAAGCUGGAGUCUGAUCCCUGGGUGCAGUACGUAUCACGUAUCUGAGAUAUGCCU